AUUGAACGCUGGCGGCAUGCCUUACACAUGCAAGUCGAACGGUAACGCGGGGCAACCUGGCGACGAGUGGCGAACGGGUGAGUAAUGCAUCGGAACAUGCCCAGUAGUGGGGGAUAGCACGGCGAAAGCCGGAUUAAUACCGCAUAAGACCUACGGGAGAAAGCGGGGGACCGCAAGGCCUCGCGCUAUUGGAGCGGCCGAUGUCAGAUUAGGUUGUUGGUGAGGUAAAGGCUCACCAAGCCGACGAUCUGUAGCUGGUCUGAGAGGACGACCAGCCACACUGGGACUGAGACACGGCCCAGACUCCUACGGGAGGCAGCAGUGGGGAAUUUUGGACAAUGGGCGCAAGCCUGAUCCAGCCAUGCCGCGUGCGGGAAGAAGGCCUUCGGGUUGUAAACCGCUUUUGUCGGGGAAGAAAUCUUCUGGGCUAAUACCCCGGGAGGAUGACGGUACCCGAAGAAUAAGCACCGGCUAACUACGUGCCAGCAGCCGCCCGUAAGAC
rnacentral:rRNA from 1 species